rnacentral:rRNA from 1 species
UACAGAGGGUGCGAGCGUUAAUCGGAAUUACUGGGCGUAAAGCGCACGUAGGUGGUUAAUUAAGUCGAUUGUGAAAUACCUGGGCUUAACCUGGGAACUGCAGUCGAUACUGGUAGACUAGAGUAUGGUAGAGGGAAGUGGAAUUUCCGGUGUAGCGGUGAAAUGCGUAGAUAUCGGAAGGAACACCAGUGGCGAAGGCGACUUCCUGGACUAAUACUGACACUGAGGUGCGAAAGCGUGGGUAGCGAACAGG